UAAACGACUCUCGGCAACGGAUAUCUUGGCUCUCGCAUCGAUGAAGAACGUAGCGAAAUGCGAUACUUGGUGUGAAUUGCAGAAUCCCGUGAACCAUCGAGUUUUUGAACGCAAGUUGCGCCCAAAACCAUUAGGUCGAGGGCACGCCUGCCUGGGCGUCUCAC
rnacentral:rRNA from 2 species